CGCGUGAGCGAUGAAGGCCUUCGGGUCGUAAAGCUCUGUUGUCAGAGAAGAACAAGUACCGGAGUAACUGCCGGUACCUUGACGGUACCUGACCAGAAAGCCACGGCUAACUACGUGCCAGCAGCCGCGGUAAUACGUAGGUGGCAAGCGUUAUCCGGAAUUAUUGGGCGUAAAGCGCGCGCAGGCGGUUCUUUAAGUCUGAUGUGAAAGCCCACGGCUCAACCGUGGAGGGUCAUUGGAAACUGGGGAACUUGAGUGCAGGAGAGAAAAGUGGAAUUCCACGUGUAGCGGUGAAAUGCGUAGAGAUGUGGAGGAACACCAGUGGCGAAGGCGGCUUUUUGGCCUGUAACUGACGCUGAGGCGCGAAAGCGUGGGGAGCAAACAGGAUUAGAUACCCUGGUAGUCCACGCCGUAAACGAUGAGUGCUAGGUGUUGGGGGGUUCCACCCUCAGUGCUGACGUUAACACAUUAAGCACUCCGCCUGGGGAGUACGGCCGCAAGGCUGAAACUCAAAGGAAUUGACGGGGGCCCGCACAAGCAGUGGAGCAUGUGGUUUAAUUCGAAGCAACGCGAAGAACCUUACCAGGUCUUGACAUCCUCUGACCACUUGAGAGAUCAAGCUUUCCCCUUCGGGGGACAGAGUGACAGGUGGUGCAUGGUUGUCGUCAGCUCGUGUCGUGAGAUGUUGGGUUAAGUCCCGCAACGAGCGCAACCCUUGACCUUAGUUGCCAGCAUUAAGUUGGGCACUCUAGGGUGACUGCCGGUGACAAACCGGAGGAAGGUGGGGAUGACGUCAAAUCAUCAUGCCCCUUAUGACCUGGGCUACACACGUGCUACAAUGGGUGGUACAAAGGGUUGCAAAGCCGCGAGGCUAAGCCAAUCCCAAAAAGCCACUCUCAGUUCGGAUUGUAGCUGCAACUCGCCUACGUGAAGCCCGAUUGCUAGUAUCGCGGAUCAGCAUGCCGCGUGAGACGUUCCCAGGGCCUUGUACACGCGGCCGUCACACCACGAGAGUUUGUACACCCGAGUCAGUAGUACGUUUGAGCG
rnacentral:rRNA from 1 species